rnacentral:rRNA from 1 species
CUCAAUGAAUUUUAAAUAGCCGCAAUUAUAUUGUGCUAAGGUAGCAUAAUCAUUUGUCUUUUAAUUUAAGACUAGAAUAAAAGAUUUAACAUUUAAUUUAUUUUUUUAAAUUUAAAUAUUUAAAUUAUAUUAAAUAUAAAAAUAUAUUUAUAUAAAAAAAAGACGACAAGACCCUAUUAAACUUUACUAAAGUUUAACUGGGGCAGUUAAUUAAUUAUUAUUUUAAUUUAUAUUCUAUAAAAUUUCUAAUAUAAUUAAAUAAACAAGUUACUAUAGGGAUAACAGCAUAAUAAUUUUUUAAAGAUCUUAUUUAUAAAAAAGUUUAUGACCUCGAUGUUGAAUUAAUUUUCUUUAAUAAGCAAAUAUAUUAAUAGAAAGUCUGUUCGACGU